ACGAACGCUGGCGGCAUGCCUAACACAUGCAAGUCGAACGCCCCGCAAGGGGAGUGGCGCACGGGUGAGUAACGCGUGGGGAUCUGCCCAUCGGUGGGGAAUAACCUCGGGAAACUGAGGCUAAUACCGCAUACGCCCUGUAAAGGGGAAAGAUUUAUCGCCGAUGGAUGAACCCGCGUCCGAUUAGCUUGUUGGUGAGGUAAUGGCUCACCAAGGCUUCGAUCGGUAGCUGGUCUGAGAGGAUGACCAGCCACACUGGGACUGAGACACGGCCCAGACUCCUACGGGAGGCAGCAGUGGGGAAUAUUGGACAAUGGGCGCAAGCCUGAUCCAGCAAUGCCGCGUGAAUGAUGAAGGCCUUAGGGUUGUAAAGUUCUUUCGCUCGUGACGAUGAUGACGGUAACGAGAGAAGAAGCCCCGGCUAACUUCGU
rnacentral:rRNA from 1 species